AUUGAACGCUGGCGGCAUGCCUUACACAUGCAAGUCGAACGGUAACAGGCCGCAAGGUGCUGACGAGUGGCGAACGGGUGAGUAAUGCAUCGGAACGUGCCCAGUUGUGGGGGAUAACUGCUCGAAAGAGCAGCUAAUACCGCAUACGACCUGAGGGUGAAAGCGGGGGACCGCAAGACCUCGCGCAAUUGGAGCGGCCGAUGUCAGAUUAGGUAGUUGGUGGGGUAAAGGCCUACCAAGCCGACGAUCUGUAGUUGGUCUGAGAGGACGACCAGCCACACUGGGACUGAGGCACGGCCCAGACUCCUACGGGAGGCAGCAGUGGGGAAUUUUGGACAAUGGGCGCAAGCCUGAUCCAGCAAUGCCGCGUGCAGGAAGAAGGCCUUCGGGUUGUAAACUGCUUUUGUCAGGGAAGAAAUCCUCUGGGUUAAUACCCCGGGGGGAUGACGGUACCUGAAGAAUAAGCACCGGCUAACUACGUGCCAGCCGCCGCGGUAAGAC
rnacentral:rRNA from 1 species